ACAGCAGUAGCCACGGUAAUACGUAGGGUGCAAGCGUUAAUCGGAAUUACUGGGCGUAAAGCGUGCGCAGGCGGUUAUAUAAGACAGAUGUGAAAUCCCCGGGCUCAACCUGGGAACUGCAUUUGUGACUGUAUAGCUAGAGUACGGCAGAGGGGGAUGGAAUUCCGCGUGUAGCAGUGAAAUGCGUAGAUAUGCGGAGGAACACCGAUGGCGAAGGCAAUCCCCUGGGCCUGUACUGACGCUCAUGCACGAAAGCGUGGGGAGCAAACAGGAUUAGAUACCCCGGUAGUCCCUGUCUCUUAUAC
rnacentral:rRNA from 1 species